rnacentral:rRNA from 1 species
AUGGAAGGAAGGGGGAAGGGACUAGCAAAUUCAAAGAAAAGAGGAAGAGAUUUGAAAAGGUAUUUUGAAGUGAUUGGUAGUGGCAGCAGCUCAAAAACGAAUCCAAGCACCCGCGAAAAUGUCAAUAUUUCAGCAAAUGUCAAUCAUCAAGAUCAAGUGACUUCCAUGAAAGUAGAUCAUGAAAAUUUGAUGCCAACCGAACAAGUGGAAGAACAAACUAUAGAUUCCGUCGAAGCUAUAGUGGAAGAGAAUGUUGAAUUUCACGGGGUUGAAGGUAUAACUGUUUUUAGUGAAGAUUACAUAAAGGGUGAUCCAGGACUUCUGAAAGAACAUGUGGUGUCCCCAUGUUUGGUUUUGGUAAUUGACGACAAUCUCUAUGGACUAAUGGUUGUCUUGAGUUAUAUUUGA